UAGGGAAUCUUCCACAAUGGACGCAAGUCUGAUGGAGCAACGCCGCGUGAGUGAAGAAGGUCUUCGGAUCGUAAAGCUCUGUUGUUGGUGAAGAAGGAUAGAGGCAGUAACUGGUCUUUAUUUGACGGUAAUCAACCAGAAAGUCACGGCUAACUACGUGCCAGCAGCCGCGGUAAUACGUAGGUGGCAAGCGUUGUCCGGAUUUAUUGGGCGUAAAGCGAGCGCAGGCGGAAUGAUAAGUCUGAUGUGAAAGCCCACGGCUCAACCGUGGAACUGCAUCGGAAACUNUCAUUCUUGAGUGCAGAAGAGGAGAGUGGAACUCCAUGUGUAGCGGUGGAAUGCGUAGAUAUAUGGAAGAACACCAGUGGCGAAGGCGGCUCUCUGGUCUGCAACUGACGCUGAGGCUCGAAAGCAUGGGUAGCGAACAGGAUUAGAUACCCUGGUAGUCCAUGCCGUAAACGAUGAGCGCUAGGU
rnacentral:rRNA from 1 species